rnacentral:rRNA from 1 species
UACAGAGGUCCCGAGCGUUGUUCGGAUUCAUUGGGCGUAAAGGGUGCGUAGGCGGCGGGGCAAGUCUGAUGUGAAAUCUCACAGCUUAACUGUGAAACUGCAUUGGAUACUAUCCGGCUCGAGGAAUGGAGGGGAGACUGGAAUACUUGGUGUAGCAGUGAAAUGCGUAGAUAUCAAGUGGAACACCAGUGGCGAAGGCGAGUCUCUGGACAUUUCCUGACGCUGAGGCACGAAAGCCAGGGGAGCAAACGGG